rnacentral:rRNA from 1 species
AAGCGGCAACAGCUCAAAUUUGAAAUCUGGCGCAAGCCCGAGUUGUAAUUUGGAGAGGAUGCUUCAGGGCAGCGGCCGGUCUAAGUUCCUUGGAACAGGACGUCAUAGAGGGUGAGAAUCCCGUAUGCGACCGGUUGGCACCCGUCACGUAGCUCCUUCGACGAGUCGAGUUGUUUGGGAAUGCAGCUCUAAAUGGGAGGUAAAUUUCUUCUAAAGCUAAAUAUUGGCCAGAGACCGAUAGCGCACAAGUAGAGUGAUCGAAAGAUGAAAAGCACUUUGGAAAGAGAGUUAAAAAGCACGUGAAAUUGUUGAAAGGGAAGCGCAUGCAAUCAGACUUGUCGGCGGUGUUCCGCCGGUCUUUUGACCGGUCUACUCGCCGCCGGCAGGCCAGCAUCAUCUGGGUGCGCCGGACAAAGGCGCGGGGAAUGUAGCUCCUCGGAGUGUUAUAGCCCCGCGCACAAUACGGCGCCGCCCGGGUGAGGUCCGCGCUUCGGCUAGGAUGCUGGCGUAAUGGUUGUAUGCGGCCCGUCUUGAAACACGGACCAAGGAGUCUAACAUCUAUGCGAGUGUUCGGGUGUCAAACCCCUACGCGGAAUGAAAGUGAACGGAGGUGGGAAGCGCAAGCUGCACCAUCGACCGAUCCUGAUGUCUUCGGAUGGAUUUGAGUAAGAGCAUAGCUGUUGGGACCCGAAAGAUGGUGAACUAUGCCUGAAUAGGGUGAAGCCAGAGGAAACUCUGGUGGA